GCCCCCGUGUCCCAACUGGCAGAGGAAGCCGGCUUAAACCCGGCGUGUUGUGGGUUCGAGUCCCACCGGGGGCA
rnacentral:tRNA from 1 species